UGGGGAAUUUUGGACAAUGGGCGAAAGCCUGAUCCAGCAAUGCCGCGUGUGUGAAGAAGGCCUUCGGGUUGUAAAGCACUUUUGUCCGGAAAGAAAUCCUUGGCUCUAAUACAGUCGGGGGAUGACGGUACCGGAAGAAUAAGCACCGGCUAACUACGUGCCAGCAGCCGCGGUAAUACGUAGGGUGCAAGCGUUAAUCGGAAUUACUGGGCGUAAAGCGUGCGCAGGCGGUUUGCUAAGACCGAUGUGAAAUCCCCGGGCUCAACCUGGGAACUGCAUUGGUGACUGGCAGGCUAGAGUAUGGCAGAGGGGGGUAGAAUUCCACGUGUAGCAGUGAAAUGCGUAGAGAUGUGGAGGAAUACCGAUGGCGAAGGCAGCCCCCUGGGGCCAAUACUGACGCUCAUGCACGAAAAGCGUGGGGGAGCAAAACAGGAUUAGAUACCCUGGUAGUCCACGCCCUAAACGAUGUCAACUAGUUGUUGGGGGAUUCAUUUCCUUAGUAACGUAGCUAACGCGUGAAGUUGACCGCCUGGGGAGUACGGUCGCAAGAUUAAAACUCAAAGGAAUUGACGGGGUCAUAGCUGUUUCCU
rnacentral:rRNA from 1 species